rnacentral:rRNA from 1 species
CACGUAGGGUGCGAGCGUUGUCCGGAAUUAUUGGGCGUAAAGAGCUCGUAGGCGGUGUGUCGCGUCGGCCGUGAAAACCUGCAGCUUAACUGUGGGCUUGCGGUCGAUACGGGCAUCACUGGAGUUCGGCAGGGGAGACUGGAAUUCCUGGUGUAGCGGUGAAAUGCGCAGAUAUCAGGAGGAACACCGGUGGCGAAGGCGCUCAUCUGGCCCGUUUCUGACGCUGAGGCGCGAAAGCUAGGGUAGCGAACGGG